ensembl:lncRNA
CAGCAAUUUCUUUCAGUUAGCAGUCGAUCAAGUGGCCCAACGUGAAAGUACUGAUAUGAAGCUCACGUUGCUUGUCCGGGAGACAGGGGGAAAGAGGCAACAGGUGAGCUUAAAUAUGGUGCAUGCAUAGCAGCAUGUAAUGUGGAAAACAAAAAUGAACACAAAAAUGCAAGAUUAACACAAAAUGAAAGUGUGCUUUUAAGAAAUAACUACAAAGAGCUUCAUAUAAAAGAGAGCAGUCUCUCUCAGGCUCCUUCAGUGUUCAUUUCGCUCUUGUGAAGGGAUGCUGGAGAACCUAGACCAGUUUGUCUGUUCACUUGUCUGUUCAUCUGGCAUUCAAUGAGAUAAAGAUUUAUGGUCCCAGUGACUGAAAAACAAUAGUCCCUAAAGUAAAACCAAAGGCACAUUUUGAAGGUUGUCAUGGUCCUGGGCCAUGUGGGCCCAGCAUUCUUAGUUUUCAUGUAUUUUUGUAUUUUGUUCUUUAUUUAGGCCAUGCUUCCUGGGUUGAUCUGUUACGUUGUUCCUUAUGUGUUUUCCCUUCGUGACUCUUACCCCCUGUGUGCCCCUCUGUGUAUUUAUGAGCCCUCGUCUCCCUUUGUGGUUGUUUCAUGUUUCCCCAGCCCGUUAUGUCUGUGUUUUUCCCCGUGCUCUCUCUCCUCCUGUCUGAACCUCUGUGCCUGUACAUGUCAUGUUCAGUUCACCCAGCCCUGUCUCGUUAUGAUUAUCAGUGUCACCUGUGUUCCCCGUGUGUGCCCACUUUCCUCGUUUACCCUCUGUGUAUUUCUGUCUGAGUCUCCCUCUGUUCGGUGUCGUGUUCUCCCUCAUGCUGUGUGUGAUUCCCCUGUGUUCCUUGGUGAGCUUUAUGUUAGUUUUUCCCAGUUUAGUUUUGUAUUGUUUCUCGUGGCCAGCAAUAAAGCUGUGUUUUUGAGUUCACCCCCGUGUCGUACUACGGUGUACAUUUUAGGACAUCGUCAGGUAUCAGACAAAAAAUUGUCAGGUGUCAGUUGUCAAAAAAAAAAGUUGUCAGGUAUCAGAAAAAAAAUUGUCAGGUGUCAGAAAAAAAAUUGUCAGGUGUCAGUUGUCAAAAAAAAAAAAAGUCAGGUAUCAGAAAAAAAAUUGUCAGGUGUCAGAAAAAAAGUUGUCAGGUGUCAGAAAAAAAAUUGUCAGGUGUCAGUUGUCCAAAAAAAAAAAAGUCAGGUAUCAGAAAAAAAAUUGUCAGGUGUCAGAAAAAAAGUUGUCAGGUGUCAGACAAAAAAUUGUCAGGUGUCAGUUGUCAAAAAAAAAAAAGUCAGGUAUCAGAAAAAAAAUUGUCAGGUGUCAGAAAAAAAGUUGUCAGGUGUCAGAAAAAAAGUUGUCAGGUGUCAGAAAAAAAAUUGUCAGGUGUCAGUUGUCCAAAAAAAAAAAAGUCAGGUAUCAGAAAAGAAAUUGUCAGGUGUCAGAAAAAAAGUUGUCAGGUGUCAGAAAAAAAGUUGUCAGGUGUCAGAAAAAAAAUUGUCAGGUAUCAGAACACAAGGUACCAGAGAGAAAAUCUUCCUGCAGGUGGCGCUGUUGUCAUGUCCCACCCGAAUUGAUUUCCAAAUACGUCAUCAACGUGUGACCGUGGGAGAGCGUAAGGUCAUUGACCUCACCGGAGUUUUACCGUGGUUCAGGCUCCUAACGACACAAGGUAAGUUUAACUUUUUCUCCCUUUUGUUCAUAUUUUUGCCACAGUUGUGUUAUAUUAAGUUGCAGUUAUGUUGUGAAAGUUACAUAUCAGAGACGGAAAGCCAGUUUUGUACGAAACCAAAUCAGUACUAUUUUUGUCUGGCUAAUUCAUUCUAGCUAGCGACAGUGGUGAAACGUGAUUCAAAUUUAAACUGUUCAGUAAUUGUUUUGUAUACAUUUCAGCAAAUGGACAAGCUGAAAGCUUACGAGCAGCCUGCAUCCUUUCUGUCGCUCUUUUUCUUUAUUUCUCUUUUCUAUAUUGCUACUGUCGGGAUAUUUUUUGAUCCCGAUUUUUUUUUCUGUUAUUGUUUUUAGACUUUGCUGCAAUAUGUCAUCUGACGAUGAUGAAAGGAGUAUCCGACUCUGGCUGGUUCCCAUGACUGUACCAAAAAUACUUUUUUUUUUAUUAAAAAAAGAGCAUUAAAAAUAAAUGACUAAAGUACAACUUAUUUAUUAACUACUGUUCACCUAUUUAAUAUCAAAGAAGUGUAUUUUUUGCUACACGUUUUAUUUGUGGGCACUGAAUUGACGAUGCUUUUAGUGUAAUUGCCACAUAAAAAGAUUUAGUACUUUACUGGUUAAUUACUUAUGUUCAGUGUAAGAGGUGGGUGAUCAAUUAGACUGUUGUUGUUACACUUAACCUUUCAAGAUAUGAUGAUAAUAACAUUGUUCAACAAAGGCUUAAAACAAAAGGAAAUCAGCUGUGCACUGAAUUCAUAUGGGCAUAAAAUAAGUGAGAGGCAUCUGAGACGAGUUUUAAAACUUCUAGGGUUGAAGCGAAGAUGCCCCCAACGACCUUUUACUGAAAUC